UCCUCUUCAUCCUCUUUAACAAAUUUCUGCAAAUUUCAACAACAAGUUUCAGAUUUCCAAAUUUUCAAGUAUUCUCAAAAUUUCCAAGUAUUCCCAGAAUCAGAAACCAUUUAAUGAACAACAAUUUUCUACACAAGAUCUGUCCAAUUUUUGAAACAAAUUUUCUACACAAAAUUUUCAAGUAUUCCCGGAAUCAUCACCAUUUAUACUCCUUCAUGCCCAAUUAUUCAAGGCGAG
rnacentral:lncRNA from 1 species